UACAGAGGGUGCAAGCGUUGUUCGGAAUUAUUGGGCGUAAAGAGCUCGUAGGCGGUUUGUCGCGUCGGCCGUGAAAUCUCCACGCUUAACGUGGAGCGUGCGGUCGAUACGGGCAGACUUGAGUUCGGUAGGGGAGACUGGAAUUCCUGGUGUAGCGGUGAAAUGCGCAGAUAUCUGGAGGAACACCGGUGGCGAAGGCGGCAUCCUGGACCGACACUGACGCUGAGGCGCGAAAGCUAGGGUAGCAAACGGG
rnacentral:rRNA from 1 species